UACGGGGGGGGCAAGCGUUGUCCGGAAUUACUGGGCGUAAAGGGCUCGUAGGUGGCCAACUAAGUCGGACGUGAAAUCCCUCAGCUUAACUGGGGAACUGCGUCCGAUACUGGGUGGCUUGAGUUUGGGAGAGGGAGGCGGAAUUCCAGGUGUAGCGGUGAAAUGCGUAGAUAUCAGGAGGAACACCGGUGGCGAAGGCGGUUCUCUGGGCAUGUCCUGACGCUGAGGAGCGAAAGUGUGGGGAGCGAACAGG
rnacentral:rRNA from 1 species